rnacentral:rRNA from 1 species
UACGUAGGGUGCAAGCGUUGUCCGGAAUUAUUGGGCGUAAAGAGCUCGCAGGCGGUUUGUCGCGUCUGCUGUGAAAACUCGGGGCUUAACUCCGGGCCUGCAGUGGGUACGGGCAGACUAGAGUGCGGUAGGGGAGACUGGAAUUCCUGGUGUAGCGGUGAAAUGCGCAGAUAUCAGGAGGAACACCGGUGGCGAAGGCGGGUCUCUGGGCCGUAACUGACGCUGAGGAGCGAAAGCGUGGGGAGCGAACAGG